CCUACGGGGGGCUGCAGUGAGGAAUAUUGCGCAAUGGGGGCAACCCUGACGCAGCAACGCCGCGUGAGUGAGGAAGGUUUUCGGACCGUAAAGCUCUGUCGAGCGGGAAGAAAUGCAUGGUGGCUAAUAUCCAUCAUGCUUGACGGUACCGCUAAAGGAAGCACCGGCUAACUCCGUGCCAGCAGCCGCGGUAAUACGGGGGGAGCGAGCGUGGUUAGGAAUUGUGUAGGGGAAAGAACAAGUCGGCGGGGAAAUCCCUGGGCUUAACCCAGGACGUGCAGUUGAAACUAUUCGGCUAGAGUAGGGGAGAGGAAAGUGGAAUUCCUGGUGUAGAGGUGAAAUUCGUAGAUAUCAGGAGGAACACCGGUGGCGAAGGCGACUUUCUGGCCCUAUACUGACGCUGAGACGCGAGAGCGUGGGUAGCAAACAGGAUUAGAUACCCUAGUAGUC
rnacentral:rRNA from 1 species